CCUACGGGAGGCAGCAGUGGGGAAUAUUGCACAAUGGGGGAAACCCUGAUGCAGCGACGCCGCGUGAAGGAAGAAGUAUUUCGGUAUGUAAACCUCUAUCAGCAGGGAAGAAAAUGACGGUACCUGACUAAGAAGCCCCGGCUAACUACGUGCCAGCAGCCGCGGUAAUACGUAGGGGGCAAGCGUUAUCCGGAUUUACUGGGUGUAAAGGGAGCGUAGACGGUUUAGCAAGUCUGAAGUGAAAGGCCGGGGCUCAACUCCGGGACUGCUUUUGAAACUGUUGAACUAGAGUGCAGGAGAGGUAAGUGGAAUUCCUAGUGUAGCGGUGAAAUGCGUAGAUAUUAGGAGGAACACCAGUGGCGAAGGCGGCUUACUGGACUGUAAAUGACGCUGAGGCUCGAAAGCGUGGGGAGCAAACAGGAUUAGAUACCCUAGUAGUC
rnacentral:rRNA from 1 species